CCCUUAGAUGUUCUGGGCCGCACGCGCGCUACACUGACGGAGUCAACGAGUUGUCCUGCAUCGGAAGGUGUGGGUAAUCUUUUGAAACUUCGUCGUGCUGGGGAUAGAUCUUUGCAAUUUUCGAUCUUGAACGAGGAAUUCCUAGUAAGCGUGAUUCAUCAGAUCGCGUUGAUUACGUCCCUGCCCUUUGUACACACCGCCCGUCGCUACUACCGAUUGAAUGGUUUAGUGAGGCCUCGGGACUGGCGCGCUCGAGUAGCAAUACACCUGCGCGCCGGGAACUUGGUCAAACUUGNUNAUUUACNGGAAGUAAAANUCGUANCA
rnacentral:rRNA from 1 species